rnacentral:rRNA from 1 species
GACGAACGCUGGCGGCGUGCUUAACACAUGCAAGUCGAACGGUGAAGCGCCUUCCUUUUUGGUGGGUGUGGAUGAGUGGCGGACGGGUGAGUAACACGUGAGUAACCUGCCCCCUUCUUCUGGAUAACCGCAUGAAAGUGUGGCUAAUACGGGAUAUUCUGGGUCUGUCGCAUGAUGGGUCUGGGAAAGAUAUUGUUUCGGUGGGGGAUGGGCUCGCGGCCUAUCAGCUUGUUGGUGGGGUGAGGGCCUACCAAGGCGGUGACGGGUAGCCGGCCUGAGAGGGUGGACGGUCACACUGGGAAGGAGGCCCGGCCAAGCCUCCUACGGGAGGCAGCAGUGAGGAAUAUUGCACGAUGGGCGGAAGCCUGAUGCAGCGACGCCGCGAGAGGGAUGGAGGCCUUCGGGUUGUGAACCUCUUUCGCCAGUGAAGCAGGCCUGCCUCGUUUGUGGGUGGGUUGACGGUAGCUGGAGAAGAAGCGCCGGCUAACUACGUG